rnacentral:rRNA from 1 species
AGUGAACGCUGGCGGUAGGCCUAACACAUGCAAGUCGAACGGCAGCACAGUAAGAGCUUGCUCUUACGGGUGGCGAGUGGCGGACGGGUGAGGAAUACAUCGGAAUCUACUUUUUCGUGGGGGAUAACGUAGGGAAACUUACGCUAAUACCGCAUACGACCUACGGGUGAAAGCAGGGGAUCUUCGGACCUUGCGCGAUUGAAUGAGCCGAUGUCGGAUUAGCUAGUUGGCGGGGUAAAGGCCCACCAAGGCGACGAUCCGUAGCUGGUCUGAGAGGAUGAUCAGCCACACUGGAACUGAGACACGGUCCAGACUCCUACGGGAGGCAGCAGUGGGGAAUAUUGGACAAUGGGCGCGAGCCUGAUCCAGCCGUACCGCGUGGGUGAAGAAGGCCUUCGGGUUGUAAAGCCCUUUUGUUGGGAAAGAAAAGCAGCAGGUUAAUACCCCGCUGUUCUGACGGUACCCAAAGAAUAAGCACCGGCUAACUUCGUG